CUGCCCCCUACCCAACCUGACCUCUGCUUCCUCUCUUCCCUUCUUCCCACCUAAACAUUCCUCCACAGUGGCAAUAGCAAAGGAAAAGACAUCAACACGAUUAAAUCCCUCCGAGUCCUCCGGGUGCUACGACCUCUUAAAACCAUCAAGCGGCUGCCAAAGCUCAAGGCUGUGUUUGACUGUGUGGUGAACUCACUUAAAAACGUCUUCAACAUCCUCAUCGUCUACAUGCUAUUCAUGUUCAUCUUCGCCGUGGUGGCUGUGCAGCUCUUCAAGGGGAAAUUCUUCCACUGCACUGACGAGUCCAAAGAGUUU
rnacentral:lncRNA from 1 species